rnacentral:lncRNA from 1 species
AUUGAGCUGAUUGCAUGACAUUGGACGGCAGGAGACCUAAACUUGGACUUGGUUCUACCUCUAGAAGCUACAGCUACAUGUCUGGUGUCAAAGCACGUAUAGGAGAUAAAAAGAGAAGCCCUACCAAUUCCUGCAAGAGUUCACCGUCUGGAAAAUGUUCAUGGAGCCAAUAAAUAAUUCAGUUUUCCAUGGACACGUUAAUGAAAACUUGCAUUUUAUUAUACCUGCAGUGGAUAUCGGCUUGCUGUUUUACUUAAAAGUAAGUCUGACUGUAACUAAUAGAAAAAAUGAAAUGAUAAUGGCUUUAACAAUAUAGAAGUUUAUUCUUUGUAAUGGACAGGAG